UCGUACGUGGCGCUGGGUGCGCACCCGCUGGUGAUUCUCUUGCCGUUUUUUCAACUUUUCCAUAUCACACGGGAGACCGGGUUCGAUUCCCGGCGGUCGAA